GCCGCACCAACGCCCCAAGCCCACUACAGCACCCAGAGCCGAUGCCCUGGGCAAGAAGGCCACACCGCCUGCUCAGCGGCUUUGAUCUACCAGGUCACACUCCUCCCUUCCUCGCGUGCCACCCGGAGAUGUCAGCAAGGGCAGGGAGCUGGUGGCCUGCAGCUGACCUCCCGCAUCUGAAAGAGGCCUCAGCCUCCAAGACGUGCAGGAAAGCGGCCACACGCUGGGCUGCAGAGGGAGCGAGUGGCAGGCCAGGAAGCCCUGCCAGCACGGACGGGGCGAGGAGGGGCAAGGCCAGCAUGGCACCUUAAGGGGGCACCCCAGGCGAGUGUCCUGGGAGCUCUGGAGCCUCCUCUGGGGCAGGUGCCCCCCUUCCCUGCGACUUACUGGGGAGGCCGGGGGCACUGCUGCUAGGAGCACACGCUGACCGCACACACAGACCCGGACGCUGCAAUGGCCAUGGGGAGUGACCAGCUCCCUCAUGCUCGUGCUCCUGAAGCUGCCCUCUGGCUGCCGACUGUAUCCCCACCCACGAGGGCGCCAGGACCCUGGGGUUUCUGCAGAGUCUCCUGGAAUGGCCAUCAGCCUGGUCAGGAAGACUCCGGCCCCACGGUGGAGGUGCCCAGCAGACAGCCUGCCCCCUAUGGGGCCUCGUGAGGGCAGACACCAACGGAACCACUAACCACAGGCAGUCUCACCCACGAGGGGGCCGGGGCAAUGACGUGGCCACGGGGCGAACCGUUCUGCCCGAGGGGAAGUAGGAAUUUAGAGCAUUUCUUACUAAUCCACAGAAGCGGCAGGGCCAACGUGAUUGAAGGCCAGUGGACCUGGUGUCUGGUCUGUCCCAGGUGCGUGGCCGUUUCCUGUCCCCCCACCAGGCCUGGUCUGGGGCCUCCAGGACAAUAGGCUCUCUCAAACUCAGGACUUUAGAUUUCGCUGCCUUCACUGCAUCGUGUCCCAUGGAUGAUUGCUGGGGAAGAGCUAUUUCAGGUGCGACUUGAACGGGGAUGGGCAGCCAAGGCCCCAGACACAGAGCAAGGACCUGGACCCUGACGCCACGGAGCAGGUCGGCCACGGCAACUGGACACAGGAAAACACACCUGCGUUUAACCUGCCUGUACCAGCAUGCCUUUCACCGCUCAGUGGAUGCCACAGCUGUCUGGACGGCUGGUCUUUUCAGCUGCCUGGGACUUCACGCCACACUACGCACACGUCACCGGUGGGACAGCCUAUGCGGGUCCUGCUGAGGGAGCUUUCUGUCUGGGGCAGUCGGACAGAAAGAGGAAGCAACGUUAGCUCUGCCAUCUGAAUUCAGUAGAAGCCCGAGCUCCAGCUGGACAAGGACGAAUGCCACAGCUGCACCUGCGCAAGCAACACGGAGGGCUGCCUGGAAAGCCCCUGGCAGCUCCCGGAAACCGGAGAGCCCCACGCCUCCUCGGAAGCCCCAGGGACAGGCGUCACCAAACACCCCAGGCUGUGGCCGCGUCUGCCUGCCCAUCCGGCCCCCUCUCCCUAGGCACGGAGGCUUGAGUGCAGCAACUCCUGAGCCUACAUGUCCCCAGGUCCCCAGGUCGGCCACCACAGUCGCAAGGGCUCUUCCCCGGCUCGAGCCUGCAAGAGGCCCAAGGAAGCACCGGGGGACCGCUCUACGGGCGGGCGCCGGGCACUGCCCCGGGCAUCCCUCCUGAGACCAGGCUUUCUUUCCUCAGGGAAGGGGACAUGGGGGGAGAGGGGCUAUGUCUCCUGUAAACACAGAGAGAGAAGAAACCGAUGCCUGCAACAGCCCCUCCAGUGCCCAGGGCUCGUCUGAGGGCACCGGACAAGACGCGCUGCCUGUGCCGGUGGGCCAGGCCCCCGAGGACAGCGUGCCCUGGCCCUGCUGGUACCUGACCUGCAGCGUGGUGCCCUGCCGCUGCCUCUCACCAGGAAGCCGAGCCUGACCAGGGCCACAGACAGGCCUCGGGGCCCAGGGUGAAGGUGGCAGCCACCGGUGUUGACCACCGCGUGCGCUCAGGUAGCCCCCGAGACAGAACGCACCCCUAUCAGGUCACAUCGCAAACCUCCCACACUCUGUGCCACAAAUGCUGACGCUGUUGACCUAUGUUUACAAAACCACCCAGGCCUGGCAUGAACUGGCUGGCUCAUACUUUUUCCCAGGCCAAGCGUGUUAGUCCAUUUUACAAAGAAAAGAGUCUCACAGAGUGGGCAGCCACUCGGCAGCCUGGUGCCCAGAGCUUGGCAGCACCUGGCCCGUCCCAAGAUCCCGCACUCCCGGCAGCCUUCAUGGCCUGCGAGUCAAGAUGACCACCGAGGCGGCGCACACCUGUGUUGUGCCGGGUCACAGUGCAGGCACUCGCCGUGCAGCACAGCUCCAGACAGCCAGUGUGGACCACGGUGGCGGACAGCAUGUCACAGGCCACGCCAGCGUCCACUGCCUCCAUCUGCAGACACACAACACCCCGCUUUUCCCCCUGAGCACCGCGAAAUGAAAAGGCCUGAGUGUUGCCAGCAAGCUGAAAAUGACAGAUUCAAAAUAAAGUGACACUGAGCACCGAGGACUUUGUAGGACUAGAAGCCUCUGUAAUCACUUCAUGGGCAAGGUGCAGAAAGGGACAAGGCAGAAAAGUCACACGCGGGGGCUGCUUCUCACAGAACAACAGGUUUCUGUUUUAAACCAAUGUUUAAAAAGCAUAUUUUAGCUGCAUUUUUACUUCCCAUGCUGAGACUUUCUAACAGCCCCAUAGAUGAGGUCAAGGCAGUGUCUCCCCAGCGUGACACAGCAGGGGACUCGGGCCAGGGCCAGCCUUGUCCCAUCAUGCCCCAGUAGUUCUGGGCCUCCCACGAGA